GGGGUUGGGGUAGUCCGCACGAGCGCACCCCCUAUCCUUAUUUGCCAGCACGUAAUGGUGGGAACUCUAGGGAGACUGCCGGUGAUAAACCGGAGGAAGGUGGGGACGACGUCAAGUCAUCAUGGCCCUUACGAGUAGGGCUACACACGUGCUACAAUGGCGUAUACAGAGGGUUGCAAAGCCGCGAGGUGGAGCUAAUCUCACAAAGUACGUCGUAGUCCGGAUCGGAGUCUGCAACUCGACUCCGUGAAGUCGGAAUCGCUAGUAAUCGUGGAUCAGAAUGCCACGGUGAAUACGUUCCCGGGCCUUGUACACACCGCCCGUCACACCAUGGGAGUGGGCUGCAAAAGAAGUGGGUAGUUUAACCUUCGGGAGAACGCUCACCACUUUGUGGUUCAUGACUGGGGUGAAGUCGUAACAAGGUAGCCCUAGGGGAACCUGGGGCUGGAUCACCUCCUU
rnacentral:rRNA from 1 species